rnacentral:rRNA from 1 species
CCUACGGGCGGCAGCAGUGGGGAAUAUUGCACAAUGGGGGAAACCCUGAUGCAGCGACGCCGCGUGAGUGAAGAAGUAAUUCGUUACGUAAAGCUCUAUCAGCAGGGAAGAAAAUGACGGUAACUGAGUAAGAAGCCCCGGCUAACUACGUGCCAGCAGCCGCGGUAAUACGUAGGGGGCAAGCGUUAUCCGGAUUUACUGGGUGUAAAGUGAGCGGAGACGGUUGGCCAAGUCUGGAGGUAAAGGCCGGAGCUUAACUGCGGAAUUGCUUUGGAAACUGGCGAACUAGAGUGCGGGAGGGGUAAGCGGAAUUCCUAGUGUAGCGGUGAAAUGCGUAGAUAUUAGGAGGAACACCGGUGGCGAAGGCGGCUUACUGGACCUUAACUGACGUUGAGGCUCGAAAGCGUGGGGAGCAAACAGGAUUAGAUACCCUAGUAGUC